rnacentral:rRNA from 1 species
UACGGAGGAUGCGAGCGUUAUCCGGAUUUAUUGGGUUUAAAGGGUGCGUAGGCGGUCCGUUAAGUCAGCGGUAAAAUUUCGGGGCUCAACCCCGACAAGCCGUUGAAACUGGCUUGCUAGAGUGGGCGAGAAGUAUGCGGAAUGCGUGGUGUAGCGGUGAAAUGCAUAGAUAUCACGCAGAACUCCGAUUGCGAAGGCAGCAUACCGGCGCCCGACUGACGCUGAAGCACGAAAGUGUGGGGAGCAAACAGG